CUUACUCUUUCUGCACAGUCACUGUGAUACUUCCUGGGAAAGGCUGCUAGCCAAAUGAAAGAGUGAUGAUAUCGGAUUGCUUUGGCCGGGUGCAGCACCUCUCCUUCCGUCUACUUCCCACUCCUGCCCUCCCGAAACCCCCCGUCAGGGACCCUCUCCAAAAGGAAGGGACAUGAUGUCAAAUGAAACGAGGCUACUCUGGCAAGAAAACCCCCCCAAAUGUAUAGCCCGUGUAACGCUCGUCGUUCGAAGGAGAAGUGGACCAAAGCGCAGCGUGGAAGCGUAAGAACAUCGGUGGGUUUGUGUUUACCACAGGGUGGAUUACAGAGGAUAUGCACAGUUUCCACCUGCUAAUCAAAACCCCUGGCAGACCAACUGAGAUGCCACCUUCCGAGGUUCACGGAUGAGUAUUGUCUGUCUGUCUGUCUGUCUGUCUGUCUGUCUGUCUGUCUGUCUGUCUGUCUGUCUGUCUGUCUGUCUGUCUGUCUGUCUGUCUGUCUGUCUGUCUGUCUGUCUGUCUGUCUGUCUGUCUGUCUGUCUGUCUGUCUGUCUGUCUUUCUG
rnacentral:lncRNA from 1 species